UUUCUCUUGGAAUCUCUGUGCCUCGUCAGCUUUCUGUCCUCUCUGUGGGCAUCUCAGUCUUGAGUUUUGUGUCUGUUACUUAGUUUCUAUCUCAGCGUCAGCUUUUCUGGUCUUUCUCUGAUUCUAGCUGCUUCUGGCUCAGGGCAGCAGUCUCCUGUUGGGAAAGGAGGAGAAGUGGGGUCUGGGCAGCGGUGCCUGGUGGUCAGUGAAGCGGAUACAGACCUGAGUCCGCUCACAAGUCUCUCUGCCUAGAUGUGGUUCCUUGGGACCUAGGACCUUGGGAUUGGAUGCGGUUCCUCUGGGUGGCAGUUCUUACAGUGGACCAGCCCAGAGUCCAGCCCAGAGUCCGGUCAGCUCCCAAAAAAGGCCUGUUCUAGCUGCAGGACAGGCUGCAGCCACACAAGUCGUUUAUAUAUUCAUCAGGGUCCUCGCAGCGGAUAAGGUGCUGGCAGAAGCGCCUCCAGAACCCGCAGCGUCUGGGUCAGAGGGCUCUUCCAAGCCCAGCGGCCACGAGAAGCUCGUCUGAGGAACGGCAGGACAUUGUGGUGGCGGAAGAGCCGCUUCAACCUGUGGGUAAUCGGGAGCCAUUGAUACUUCUUGAGCAAAGAACAGGUUGCCCGAGGCCUCACUCCUGACGGCCGGCCCUGAACGUCCCUGCUGCCCCCACGACGACCUGAGUCUCCCUUUCCAAGACUCCCGCAACCCGUCACACAGAUUCCUCCAACCAAGUGCCCGUGGCCACCGACACCCGGGCCGUCCUGGCCAUCUUUGCUCUGUGCUCUGGUCCCCGGGGACGCUUUCCGUCUGUCCCCAUGUGGGACCCGUGCAAAGCGUCCUUCCCACCUACGGACACUUCACUGCCAAGAAUAAGGCCCCGGAUGAGCCAGUGGUCCAGCGGGUGCAGCCUGCCCUCUGGCGGCCCCGUGUUGUGAGGCCCUUUGCAUGUGCCCAACAGGAUAUGGCAGUUGGACUCAGUGCCCGCCAGUUCCCUGGGGUAGAGUGUAGGGCCCAAGGGCAAGCUGCCCCAAA